AGAGAAUCACAUGAACCCAGGACGUGGAGGUUGCAGUGAGCCGAGAUUGCGCCAUUGCAGUCGAUCCUAGGCAACAAGA
rnacentral:snRNA from 1 species